UGGGGAAUCUUGGACAAUGGGGGAAACCCUGAUCCAGCGACGCCGCGUGACCGAUGAAGGCCCUCGGGUCGUAAAGGUCUUUCAGCGGAGACAAUAAUGAUGGUAUCCGCAGAAGCAGGAGCGGCUAACUACGUGCCAGCAGCCGCGGUAAUACGUAGGCUCCAAGCGUUGUUCGGAAUUACUGGGCGUAAAGCGAGUGUAGGCUGUCUGUCAAGUCGGUUGUGAAAUCUCCUGGCUCAACUGGGAGGGUGCGAUCGAAACUGAUGGACUGGAGUUCGGGAGAGGAGAGUGGAAUUCCUGGUGUAGCGGUGAAAUGCGUAGAUAUCAGGAGGAACACCGGUGGUGAAGACGGCUCUCUGGACCGAUACUGACGCUGAGACUCGAAAGCGUGGGUAGCAAACAGGAUUAGAUACCCCCGUAGUCC
rnacentral:rRNA from 1 species